UUUUAUCUCUUCGCUAAAACUAGAGCAUAUAAAAUGGUUUUAUAUAUUUUUAUUGGUAUAUUAAUUAGAUUUUCAUAAAAAGUUUGUAGUAAAAUAUUAAUAUGUUUAUCUUGAGCCCGUAAAAUGCUAGAGACACGUACGUCACUUUGUAGGUGUAAAGCUAGUUGAUGAAAAGUUCUUUGGAUAUGAAGAUUGGAACAUUGGGACCGUGCAUCAUGAAAGGAAGCUCGCAAAUUUUGUUAGCUAAGUGAAGUUUGAGUUGAUCAUAAGCGCAUUUCUUCCCAUGUGAUGCAUAGAUGUCUUCUUUCUUGAGGAUCACAUUUGGGAUUGAGUGUUGGCUUAGAUAAACAGAUGUUGCUAAACCAGCUGGUCCAGCUCCCACAAUCACCACUACAGUCUCCAUAUCUAUAUAUCUCGUGUGUUUAGGUAUGAUAGAUUUUCUCUUUGGGUUGUUCAGAGAUGUUCAUUAAUUAUAUUCUUAUAUAAAGAUAUGAGGACAUGGUGAUAUGUGUGAGCAAAAACGAGGAAAUACGGAAUCUUAAAACUUUUGACACUUGUAAGAAAAUGCAAAGUGAUUUUUAUUAGUGCUGGCGGUUUUGAAACUAUGUACCUAAUUUCUGUAAAUAAAAGAGAGUUCAGUUGAGAAAUAGCCUAGCAUAAACGUUACGAAUUUAAGAGCAACAGGUAACAAAUUUAACCAUGUGUGGCUUACAACUUAAAUGGUGAGUUGUGAGAGAGGAUGUAUGAUAAUAUAUUUCGUAUUUGACUUUGCUAUUUUAUUUUAACAUUUUUGAUUAUGAUAUUAACUACUAUACUUGCUUAAAUAUUAAUACUUGUUUUGUAUAUAUUUGAUAAGACUAGCCAAUAAAUAAUCUGAAAAGAUUUAUUAUUUUGACAUUCUUUAGUUAAUUUAGAAAUACAAAUCAAGUAUGUAAGUGGACGACUACUAAACUUCUAAAAAAUAAUUUUUUUAACAAAAUUGACCAAAUUUUCUUAAACUUUUACUGACACCCAUUAUUUUAUUUUUACAGUGAAUUACUUAAAAAUAAAGGAAUAUGUUUAGAUUAGUUACUAAUUAACUUGACUAUCUAAGUUCGCAGUAAAAGACAAUAUUAGUGUCAUAUUUAUUGUAAAACAACUACAGUCAUCUUUAAAAUGCGAUUUUUUUUGUCAUCAACAUAGAAACUCAACUAAGACUCUGUAAAAUGCAAUUACAUACAGGGUUUUUACCUUGUGGCAUUUUUAAAUUAUCAAUAGAAAUAGACUGAUAUUCUUUGUAUUUUGUCAUUUUCCAAAACUAAAUAUAAAAUUCUAUAAGAUUAUUUCUUCUAUCUAUAUAAGUUAUAUUAAAAACAAGAACCAUUAUAGGUUUCAAAAAAACAAACAGUAGACGUUAUAUUGAAAUGAUCAGUCAUAGAGUGAUACGUGUUAUUUAGUCUUAUCGCUGUUCUCUUAAUAUUUUGGGAAAGUUAUAAAAUAUAUAUUCUAACUGAACUGAAUCAUUUAUGAAGUCAUUACACAUACUGUUUAACAAAGACAUGACACAUAUUGAUUUACUAUAUACGUUAGAUGAACGUGUUCAUGCACUACUGGAAUCUAUUUACUUUGCAUGUAUCCGAAAAAUGGUUUCUUCGUAUGCCCACGCAAGUUCAGAUUGGUACGAAAGUCGAAACAGAUUCUUCUUCUACAACUUAUCCGUUUGAAAAUUGAAACCAUCGAAAAUGUUAGUUGCUUUAAUGUUAAAUAAAAGAAACAAACAAGUGUGAGAGUUAGGUCGCACGAAAAGAGAAAUGAAAAUGGAUGUAUGGCUAGACAUUUACUGAGUUUUUACUAAUAUUUUCUUUUGUUUUGUCCAUAUUUUAGCAAAUAUUUUAUUAGUUAAUAUUUUCUUUUUACAUUUUUAUAUUAGUUUAUCACUUAUAACUUGACAUGUAAACUAUAUAUAUUUCAGUUAAUAUAUAUAAAUGCUGAAGAUGUUCGCAAUCACCUAUAUAAUUUUAUGAUAAUUUUCUUACUAAUCUAAUUUUAUCUCUUCGCUAAAACUAGAGCAUAUAAAAUGGUUUUAUAUAUUUUUAUUGGUAUAUUAAUUAGAUUUUCAUAAAAAGUUUGUAGUAAAAUAUUAAUAUGUUUAUCUUGAGCCCGUAAAAUGCUAGAGACACGUACGUCACUUUGUAGGUGUAAAGCUAGUUGAUGAAAAGUUCUUUGGAUAUGAAGAUUGGAACAUUGGGACCGUGCAUCAUGAAAGGAAGCUCGCAAAUUUUGUUAGCUAAGUGAAGUUUGAGUUGAUCAUAAGCGCAUUUCUUCCCAUGUGAUGCAUAGAUGUCUUCUUUCUUGAGGAUCACAUUUGGGAUUGAGUGUUGGCUUAGAUAAACAGAUGUUGCUAAACCAGCUGGUCCAGCUCCCACAAUCACCACUACAGUCUCAUAUCUAUAUAACUCGUGUGUUUAGGUAUGAUAGAUUUUCUCUUUGGGUUGUUCAGAGAUGUUCAUUAAUUCUGUUCUUAUAUACAGAUAUGAGGACAUGGUGAUAUGUGUGAGCAAAAACGAGAAAAUAUGGAAUCUUAAAACUUUUGACACUUGAAAGAAAAUGCAAAGUGGUUUUUAUUAGUGAUGGCGGUUUUGAAACUAUGUACCUAAUUUCUGUAAAUAAAGUAGAGUUCAGUUGAAAAACAGCCUAGCAUAAACGUUAUGAAUUUAAGAGCAAAAGAUAACAAAUGUAACCAUGCGUGGUUUACAACUUAAAUGGUGAUUUGUCAGAGAGGAUGUAUGAUAUUAUAUUUCGUAUUUGACUUUGCUAUUUUAUUUUAACAUUUUUUAUUAUGAUAUUAACUACUAUACUUGCUUAGAUAUUAAUACUUUUUUUGUAU
rnacentral:lncRNA from 1 species